rnacentral:rRNA from 1 species
AGCAGCCGCGGUAAUUCCAGCUCCAAUAGCGUAUAUUAAAGUUGUUGCAGUUAAAAAGCUCGUAGUUGAAUUUCGGGAUCAAUAUUUCGGUCAUGCCGUUGGUAUGCACUGUUAUCAUUGAUUUCUCACCUUCUAAAGAACCGUAAUGCCAUUAAUUUGGUGUUACGGGGAAUUAGGACUGUUACCUUGAAAAAAUUAGAGUGUUUAAAGCAGGCUCACGCUUGAAUACAUUAGCAUGGAAUAAUGAAAUAGGACAUCCGAUUCUAUUUUGUUGGUUUCUAGGAUCGAUGUAAUGAUUAAUAGGGAUAGUUGGGGGUAUUAGUAUUCAAUUGUCAGAGGUGAAAUUCUUGGAUUUAUUGAAGACUAACUACUGCGAAAGCAUUUGCCAAGGAUGUUUUCAUUAAUCAAGAACGAAAGUUAGGGGAUCGAAGACGAUCAGAUACCGUCGUA